GAACCACCACAGCAACUGGGUCUGUGGGCAGGGGUGCACUUGGCAGUAGCACUGGUGUCUGAGGUGCAGGUAUGUGCUGAUCUUCUGUGAAACCAGGGUGCUAGUUGGGCUCCUUUCAGUGACUCAGGUGGAGUGGUGGGGAGGG